rnacentral:tRNA from 8 species
CGCGGGGUAGAGCAGCUUGGUAGCUCGUCGGGCUCAUAACCCGGAGGUCGCAGGUUCAAAUCCUGUCCCCGCUACCA